rnacentral:tRNA from 3 species
GUCGGGGUGGCGGAACUGGCAGACGCGCACGCUUGAGGGGCGUGUGUCUACGACAUACGGGUUCAAGUCCCGUCCCCGACACCA